rnacentral:rRNA from 1 species
UGGGGAAUCUUGCGCAAUGGGGGCAACCCUGAUGCAGCGACGCCGCGUGAGCGAUGAAGGUUUUCGAAUCGUAAAGCUCUGUCCUAUGGGAAGAUAAUGACGGUACCAUAGGAGGAAGCCCCGGCUAACUACGUGCCAGCAGCCGCGGUAAUACGUAGGGGGCGAGCGUUGUCCGGAAUUACUGGGCGUAAAGGGUUCGCAGGCGGCAUGGCAAGUCCGAUGUAAAAGGCGAAGGCUCAACCUUCGUAAGCAUCGGAAACUGUCAAGCUUGAGUGAAGGAGAGGCAAGUGGAAUUCCUAGUGUAGCGGUGGAAUGCGUAGAUAUUAGGAGGAAUACCGGUGGCGAAGGCGACUUGCUGGACUUCAACUGACGCUGAGGAACGAAAGCGUGGGUAGCAAACAGG